UCCCAGCUCUGUCUUCUCAAAUUUUGAUCCUGUGGUUUUUUUAAACGUGAUCUUGUUUAAUCCUCACAGCAGCCUUUCCCACAGGGGCCUGGUAAUCCCGGUGCCUCCCUUAGAUUUACCAAGCCCUUCCAGAACAUUCACACUCCUUCUUUCAUUCCUUCAAAAAUACCAGAAACUUGGGAGCCUCUACGAUGGACCUUUCUAGACACACACCUUUCCAGACAGAGCCAUGAGCAAAACUGCAGACCCAGGAACUACAAAGCAGUGGAUGGAGUAGAGUAUUUAUUUCCUUCAGAGCAGGCUGGGGAGGCCCCUCGGGCCAUGGAUAGAAGAGCCUUUAUUUAUUGAGCACCUACUAUGUGCUGGGCACUGGGGUUGCAAGGAUGAGCCGGGAUCUGCUCACAGACCUGACAGUCUGGGGGCGGGGAAGAUACAAUGGAUGUUCCAUCGCACACCCAGUAAAUAUCCGAAUGAAGGAACGUAUCAUCGAAGAAUCCAACUGGCCCUGGAGUGAGCUCCCUCCAAGCAAAUCUGGCCCUGCUGGAUAUCUUGGAAGUGUGGCCCAACCUCAGGAGGAUUGAAGUUCAACUUGUCUCCAGCGGCCUUGGCAGAACGGGGAGCAUCACAGAUAACGUCAUAGCAUGUCGAAGUUUGUAGACCGACUUUCAUAAUUGCAAA